rnacentral:rRNA from 1 species
UACGUAGGGGGCAAGCGUUGUCCGGAUUCAUUGGGCGUAAAGAGCGUGUAGGCGGCCAGGUAGGUCGGUUGUGAAAACUGGAGGCUCAACCUUCAGAGGUCGACCGAAACCAUCUGACUAGAGUCCGGGAGAGGAGAGUGGAAUUCCUGGUGUAGCGGUGAAAUGCGCAGAUAUCAGGAGGAACACCGGUGGUGUAGACGGCUCUCUGGACCGUAACUGACGCUGAGGCACGAAAGCGUGGGUAGCAAACAGG